rnacentral:rRNA from 1 species
UACGAAGGGGGCUAGCGUUGCUCGGAAUCACUGGGCGUAAAGCGCACGUAGGCGGACUCUUAAGUCGGUGGUGAAAUCCUGGAGCUCAACUCCAGAACUGCCUUUGAUACUGAAGAUCUUGAGUUCGGGAGAGGUGAGUGGAACUGCGAGUGUAGAGGUGAAAUUCGUAGAUAUUCGGAAGAACACCAGUGGCGAAGGCGACUCACUGGACACAUAUUGACGCUGAGGUGCGAAAGCGUGGGGAGCAAACAGG